AUUGAACGCUGGCGGCAGGCCUAACACAUGCAAGUCGAGCGAGCGGCGGACGGGUGAGUAAUGUCUGGGGAACUGCCCGAUGGAGGGGGAUAACUACUGGAAACGGUAGCUAAUACCGCAUACUAUCGGAUGUGCCCAGAUGGGAUUAGCUGGUAGGUGGGGUAACGGCUCACCUAGGCGACGAUCCCUAGCUGGUCUGAGAGGAUGAUCAGCCACACUGGGACUGAGACACGGUCCAGACUCCUACGGGAGGCAGCAGUGGGGAAUAUUGCACAAUGGGCGCAAGCCUGAUGCAGCCAUGCCGCGUGUGUGAAGAAGGCCUUCGGGUUGUAAAGCACUUUCAGUGGGGAGGCGUUACCCACAGAAGAAGCACCGGCUAACUCCGUGCCAGCAGCCGCGGUAAUUC
rnacentral:rRNA from 1 species